AUUGAACGCUGGCGGCAUGCCUUACACAUGCAAGUCGAACGGUAGAGUAGCAAUACUCGAGAGUGGCGAACGGGUGAGUAAUAUAUCGGAACGUGCCCAGUCGUGGGGGAUAACGUAGAGAAAUUUACGCUAAUACCGCAUACGAUCUAAGGAUGAAAGCGGGGGAUUCGCAAGAACCUCGCGCGAUUGGAGCGGCUGAUAUCAGAUUAGGUUGUUGGUGAGGUAAAAGCUCACCAAGCCGACGAUCUGUAGCUGGUUUGAGAGAACGACCAGCCACACUGGGACUGAGACACGGCCCAGACUCCUACGGGAGGCAGCAGUGGGGAAUUUUGGACAAUGGGGGAAACCCUGAUCCAGCCAUUCCGCGUGAGUGAAGAAGGCCUUCGGGUUGUAAAGCUCUUUCAGCAGGAACGAAACGGUCGGCUUUAAUAAAGUCGGCUAAUGACGGUACCUGCAGAAGAAGCACCGGCUAACUACGUGCCNNCAGCCGCGGUAAUACGUAGGGUGCGAGCGUUAAUCGGAAUUACUGGGCGUAAAGCGUGCGCAGGCGGCGACAUAAGACAGAUGUGAAAUCCCCGGGCUCAACCUGGGAACUGCGUUUGUGACUGUGUUGCUAGAGUGUAGCAGAGGGGGGUGGAAUUCCACGUGUAGCAGUGAAAUGCGUAGAGAUGUGGAGGAACACCGAUGGNGAAGGCAGCCCCCUGGGUUAACACUGACGCUCAUGCACGAAAGCGNGGGGGAGCAAACAGGAUUAGAUACCCUGGUAGUCCACGCCCUAAACGAUGCCAACUAGGUGUUGGGGAAGGAGACUUCCUUAGUACCGUAGCUAACGCGUGAAGUUGGCCGCCUGGGGAGUACGGUCGCAAGAUUAAAACUCAAAGGAAUUGACGGGGACCCGCACAAGCGGUGGAUGAUGUGGAUUAAUUCGAUGCAACGCGAAAAACCUUACCUACCCUUGACAUGUCCGGAAUCCCGAAGAGAUUUGGGAGUGCUCGAAAGAGAGCCGGAACACAGGUGCUGCAUGGCUGUCGUCAGCUCGUGUCGUGAGAUGUUGGGUUAAGUCCCGCAACGAGCGCAACCCUUAUCAUUAGUUGCCAUCAUUUAGUUGGGCACUCUAAUGAGACUGCCGGUGACAAACCGGAGGAAGGUGGGGAUGACGUCAAGUCCUCAUGGCCCUUAUGGGUAGGGCUUCACACGUCAUACAAUGGUCGGUACAGAGGGUUGCCAACCCGCGAGGGGGAGCUAAUCUCACAAAGCCGAUCGUAGUCCGGAUCGCAGUCUGCAACUCGACUGCGUGAAGUCGGAAUCGCUAGUAAUCGUGGAUCAGAAUGUCACGGUGAAUACGUUCCCGGGUC
rnacentral:rRNA from 1 species